UACGUAGGGUGCAAGCGUUAAUCGGAAUUACUGGGCGUAAAGCGUGCGCAGGCGGUUUCUUAAGUCAGAUGUGAAAGCCCCGGGCUUAACCUGGGAACUGCGUUUGAAACUGGGAGACUUGAGUGUGGCAGAGGGGGGUGGAAUUCCACGUGUAGCAGUGAAAUGCGUAGAUAUGCGGAGGAACACCGAUGGCGAAGGCAGCCCCCUGGGCUGACACUGACGCUCAGGCACGAAAGCGUGGGGAGCAAACAGG
rnacentral:rRNA from 1 species